GAUGAACGCUGGCGGCGUGCUUAACACAUGCAAGUCGAACGAAGCAUUUGCGACAGAUUUUUUCGGAAUGAAGUUGCUUAUGACUGAGUGGCGGACGGGUGAGUAACUCGUGGGUAACCUGCCUUGUACUGGGGGAUAGCAGCUGGAAACGGCUGGUAAUACCGCAUAAGCGCACAAUGUUGCAUGACAUGGUGUGAAAAACUCCGGUGGUAUAAGAUGGACCCGCGUCUGAUUAGCUAGUUGGUGAGAUAACAGCCCACCAAGGCGACGAUCAGUAGCCGACCUGGGAGGGUGACCGGCCAGAUUUGGACUGAGACACGGCCCAGACUCCUACGGGAGGCAGGAGUGGGGAAUAUUGCACAAUGGAGGAAAAUCUGAUGAAGCGACGCCGCGUGAGUGAAGAAGUAAUUCGUUAUGUAAAGCUCUAUCAGCAGGGAAGAUAGUGACGGUACCUGACUAAGAAGCACCGGCUAAAUACGUG
rnacentral:rRNA from 1 species